rnacentral:rRNA from 1 species
CGCAUCUGUGCAUGCAGCAUAUCAAUAAGCGGAGGAAAAGAAACUAACAAGGAUUCCCCUAGUAACGGCGAGUGAAGCGGGAAGAGCUCAAAUUUGAAAUCUUAAAGGGUUUCCCUUUACGAAUUGUAGUUUAAAGAAGUGUUUUCUGUUGAGGUUUUGGUAAAAGUUCUUUGGAAUAGGACAUCAUAGAGGGUGAGAAUCCCGUAUUUGACCUUUACUUUCAACUUUGUGAUACACUUUCAAAGAGUCGGAUUGUUUGGGAAUGCAGUCCAAAAUGGGUGGUAAAUUUCAUCUAAAGCUAAAUAUUGGCGAGAGACCGAUAGCGAACAAGUACCGUGAGGGAAAGAUGAAAAGAACUUUGAAAAGAGAGUUAAACAGUACGUGAAAUUGUCAAAAGGGAAGCGUUUGACACCAGUGUUGUUUUUCUGAAAAUCAAUUAAAGAACUGUUUAUGCUAAGUUGUUUAGACUUUAUCAGCUAACUGUUUAGUUUUGAGCUUUUCUUUAAUGCACUUUUCAGUUAACAAGUCAACAUCAAUUUCUUUUGCUGUAAAAAAGCUUGAGGAAGGUGGCUUGAGAUUCGUCUUAAGUGUUUAUAGCCUCUUGCCUAUGCAGUCGGAGAGAUUGAGGUCUGCAGCGUAGACCCUUCGGGGCUAAAUGCAUUUGUGCUAAGUUAUAGCAUUUUAUAGACAACUUGUUGACUAUGAUUUGUCUUGUAGCUUACUCGCUUAUGUUAUUUUACCUACGCUUAGGAUGUGAAGAUGUAGCACAUCAU